UUCAAUCGUUCAACAAAGAACUUGAUUAAAGUAGGAGUUGACUCGUAUUCAUAUAUAUGGGUAGAGUAGAAUCCCGGAACUUGACUCUAAUGUGGUUUAAAAGGAAUGUAGAUAAGUUAUACAUAGGACCGUACAUCCAAAGCGUGCAAGUUUUGUUGUUGGCAACCGGAACGUUCUGAAGCUCGUGAUAAUAUUCUUUAAUCUAAUGAAACAUCAUUAAGUUGUUUUUCCUCUCAAACAUUCGUCAAACUGUUAGAAAUACCAUGUGCAUUUCCCCGUUUCAUUUAUUUUACAAAAGCAAAACUGCUUACAAUUUACAACCCCCUAUAUACAAGGUGGUCCAGAUAAAUUGGAAAAUCUUGAAAGGUUUAUAACGAACGAGCAACAGGCGGUAAAACUAUAGUUUUUUAUUAUUAUUUGCAUGUUUCAAGUAUGGAAAUAAAUUAUGUUCUCCCGAUCUUAAUGUAUGGAUGCGAGAUCCGGAAUCCUUCAUGAACCUAUUUGAUUAAGUCCUUGGAAAGGGUACAACUUAGGUUUGUGUCAAUGUUUCUUUCAUUUGGGAGAUAACACCAAAAAUCCAUGCAAAAUCAAAAGACUGGGUCUCGUCAUUCUCUCUCAUAGAUGUACCAUUAAAGAUGUUACAAUGCUCCACCGAAUUUUAAACCUAAAAUCUCCCGCACCCUGGAUAUUAAACAAAUGCUACCUCUUCCACGAAACGAGGCUCUAUGAUCACUACACCUUCUACCUACCAAAACCAAAUAUAUACAUUUUCAACUAUUAUUUUUACUAACAUUGGCUAGUCUUUGGAACUAUAUACAUACUUUUGUCAGGGAAGUGAACCUGGCCUCAAGCGAUUUUUAGUCAAUUCUUUAUUUGUGUGACAUAUUUAUAUAUAUAUCAUUUACAUUUUGGGGUUAUUUUGUUUAGUUAAUUUUUUCAUUGCACAUGUACGUUAUUUUUAAUAUUUUCAUCUUUAUUGUAUAAGUCAAGCAUUACUACCUUUCAUGAUCGCCGCUGGUCAAAAUGUAUAAACAGAAAUAAGAUACAGGAUCUAUUUUUUUAUUCGUCCUUAUGGAAUAGCACUCAAAAAAUAUAUAUUACGCUGCCUCGUUUAUUCGUACCCUUCGCCCUAAAAUAAGUCACCUCAAGAGAGCUUUCAAAAUUACAAAUCAGGUGCUCUGGAUCGAAAAAAAAGUAUGUUGGACGUUAAUUCAUUUAUUUUUUAGUAUUUUGUAAUCUUUCCAACCAAUCGGUUGAUAAGAAAAACAUUAACGUCCACACAAUAUUGGCAUCUUCAAAUACCCAUGACUAUAAAUUGUUAAUUAGCGAUAGCUAAUUAAUUAGUUAUACAAUUCAAUUGCAGGUACUUAAAAAAGACAUUUUUUUUUGCAGUACAUUACUUAUUAAUUUCUGAAAAAUUUAUUUCAAUUCUCUUUAUGUUUAAGAAAGUUGUUUUAUGGAAAUGUACAAAAAUAUCACAAUAGUGACCAUAUCAUAACAUAGAUUUUACUGUAGGGUAUAAGCUCUUAUAAGUUUUAUACUCUUAUAAAACAAUGAAAGACAAAAUGAUGAUACUCCAAAUAAUAAUUGAUCAUAACUUCCUUAAUAUUGAAGCUAGUUUUUUUUGUAACAUACCUACAUGUUCGUGUAAAGAUGGAUAACCACAUCGUUCAUGCGUGUACACGCUAUUUAUUUAAAGUAACUUUGUGUAUUAUAAUCUCCAAACCCUCAACAAUUUUUUCUUUUUAAAAUAUAGAGUUCUGUGAUUAGAAUGAGAGAAAAUGUCAAGAUAGUAUUUUUUUUGUAUCAUAAUUUAAUGUCUUAUUGUAUUGUAUAUCCCAUUCCCAAAACAAUGUACAAUUUAAAUCAAAAGGAAAUGAGUACAAUAUAUAAGUUUGCAUGCACUUUCUAUCUCAAAAUUGGAAACUGCAUAAACGAAAAGUGGCAAUUAAAUUAUUACAAAGGAGAUGCUAUGUGAUGCAAAGCUACACGACGCAAAAAAUAUAUUAAUGAAGUUGGAGGCGAAGGAUUUGGAAUGUUUCGAGAUAUUCAGACAAUUAACACUUUGGAGGAUGAUGAAACUAGCUGGAAGGUCUCAUAAUGUACCAGUAUAACCAAUUAGUUACAAAACAAAACAAACUUGAGAUCUCUCCAGCUGACGUACAAUUCGAGAAAAUGAGACUUAAAUGUGAUUGACGAAUUUCCAUUCAAGCAAUCCUUGACGCUGGAAAAUCUCCAACCAAAGCAGCUAGGGUCUCCGGUCCUCCAUGAUUUAAGGGCCAACAAUUUUGAUAAAUAGUAUCUUGAUUAAUUGAUUCAUCUAUAUAUAACUGUGUUAAUAUCUUUUAACAAAUAAAACUUUAUUUAAAUUA
rnacentral:lncRNA from 1 species